rnacentral:lncRNA from 7 species
GGGGAAGUAUUUUCUGCUUUGUCUCCCAAAGCAGUUUCUCAUGCCAUAGUUCUCCCUUCACCCCUUGUGCCCCUCUGGUCAGUGUGCUCUCCCUCCUCCUUCCUUACAUUCUGUGAACUUGUUAUGGCAUAUUCCUCCCUCUUCUGUCCUCAAAGUCAAUUAGUCCAAGUCAAAGUAUUAUGUUGAUUUCCUUCCUCUUUCUUUCAGCUUGCCCACUGUUCUCUGACCUGCUGUUAUGAGCUGCUGUGAGGUUUAUUCUCUUUUUAAAACCAAGAAAUAAUUUUCCUGAUGAAAAAUGUUUGAUUUAAGAGACUUCCAAAAUCUAGACCCAGGCACAACAUUUACCUCAUUUCCUGGGCAGGUUUCAAGUUUGCAGGUCUUGGUGUGGACAGAAAAAUCCAUCGCAUGUAGCUGCAAUUACACUGGGACUCAGAAGAUUAGAAGAUGCUUUGCUCUCCUGCUCCUGCUUGCUAGAAUGGAAGAGGUCAUCUAUUUUUAAAGUACUUGGCAGAGGAAGACCUGAAUUCAGGCUGUACCUUGGAUGCAUCAGAAAAAAAAUUGUCAAGUGAAGCCAGUGAAGACACCCUGGCUGUAGCUGAGGUUGGAGCAGCUGUUGUGCAGUCUGAUGCGUUUUUGUUUUCUACUUUGAGGCUUUAAUGUACAAAUCAGUACCUCCAUUUUAGUUUCUACCACAGAAGAAAAACUGCUGAUGAAUGACAUUGAGAUUUGGAAAACCACCCAGGAGAGAACAUUUUUAGAGAUAAGAUUUCAGUAUUUCUCUGCCACAGGCCACUUGUUUCACAGUGAGGUUUCAGAAUUGCUCAGUGCAGUCUGUUUGGGGCCUGCUUGGCGCAGACAGUUACUUCAUAGCCACAGGAAGUGAACCUGGAGGAGUCCCCUGUUUAUAAGAACCCUUGAUUCCAAAGGAACCCAGGAGUUUGCUCAAAGGAAAAAUCAGAGGCUAAAGGGCCUUCAGGCAGUCCUAUCCCUCACCUCCUGGAUAGGGUUUUCAGUGAAAGUGGAAUUCACACCAACACAGGCCGGAGCAUAGGGGAGAUGAAGGUUUUGCUGCUUGUCAGGUGAAUUCACAGUCAUCAGAUUAAAUGAGUUUUUAUUUUCAGGUUCAGCUUCCUAUCCUUAAAUGUUGGACAAAGAAAUCCAUACAGUCUUGAACUUCUCACCGUGCACAAAAGUUUUGUUUUCAAGCAGCUCUCAUGUCUUCUCACUGGAAUUGGCAGUGGGGCUGUGCCAUACACACCUCUCCAUGUUGAAUUUGUGAAGACUUCCAUCUUUACAUCCCUCCCAGCUGGAACUUGGGGAGAAACACUGGGGUUGCUUGCCCUGGCAAUGCUGUUAGACUGGUCUGCUUUUGCUCUGGUGACAAAGUAAAAUGAGAAUGCUUAGUGGGGCACCCACUGUCACAGGAAAAUUCAGGACUGAGAGGAAAGAGUUCUUCUGUGGGAUGUGUGAGCAGUCUCCACAUCCACUGGAAAAAAUACCUGAAGGGUGGAGCCCUGUCCAAGUCCACUUAAAACUCAGAGAUCAGCUUCUAACUUAGGUCGCAGCUGGGGACAUCAGCCACUUCACCUCUGGAAAAGGGCUGUAAUGAUGCAUAACACCCAGCAGGCAAAAAUUCAGCAUUUGAUCAUGUAUGUGUAGGAGCUUGAGCUGGACAAGACUAGCACCCAUGUACUUUAAUUGGCUCAAGCAAUUUCACUCAGCUUCUGGGAAUGAAAAAUAGAGGUUUUCUUUCAGCAGGCUGCUGCUCUGUGCGUAGAUAAUUGCUUAACAGUAAUGUG